rnacentral:rRNA from 1 species
AAAUUGAAGAGUUUGAUCAUGGCUCAGAUUGAACGCUGGCGGCAGGCCUAACACAUGCAAGUCGAACGGUAACAGGAAGCAGCUUGCUGCUUUGCUGACGAGUGGCGGACGGGUGAGUAAUGUCUGGGAAACUGCCUGAUGGAGGGGGAUAACUACUGGAAACGGUGGCUAAUACCGCAUAAUGUCGCAAGACCAAAGAGGGGGACCUUCGGGCCUCUUGCCAUCAGAUGUGCCCAGAUGGGAUUAGCUUGUUGGUGAGGUAACGGCUCACCAAGGCGACGAUCCCUAGCUGGUCUGAGAGGAUGACCAGCCACACUGGAACUGAGACACGGUCCAGACUCCUACGGGAGGCAGCAGUGGGGAAUAUUGCACAAUGGGCGCAAGCCUGAUGCAGCCAUGCCGCGUGUAUGAAGAAGGCCUUCGGGUUGUAAAGUACUUUCAGCGGGGAGGAAGGUGUUGCGGUUAAUAACCGCAGCAAUUGACGUUACCCGCAGAAGAAGCACCGGCUAACUCCGU